rnacentral:misc_RNA from 1 species
AAUGCGAUAAGUAAUGUGAAUUGCAGAAUUCAGUGAAUCAUCGAAUCUUUGAACGCACCUUGCGCUCCUUGGUAUUCCUUGAAGCAUGCCUGUUUGAGUAUCAUGAAAUCUUCAAAGUAAAUCUUUUGUUAACUCAAUUGGUUUCUACUUUGGUAUUGGAGGUCUUUGCAGCUUCACACCUGCUCCUCUUUGUUCAUUAGCUGGAUCUCAGUGUUAUGCUUGGUUCCACUCGGCGUGAUAAGUUAUCUAUCGCUGAGGACACUGUAAAAGGUGGCCAAGGUAAAUGCAGAUGAACCGCUUCUAAUAGUCCAUUGACUUGGACAAUACUUUUAUGAUCUGAUCUCAAAUCAGGUAGGACUACCCGCUGAACUUAAGC